GCAAACUGUGGCCAGUGGUUAAGACGUUGGACUUAGAAUCCAUUGGGGUCUCCCGCGUAGGUUCAGAUCUACCGGCUACA